rnacentral:tRNA from 1 species
UCCCUGGUGGCUCAGCGGUUAAAGCGUCUGCCUGCAAUGUGGGAGACCUGGGUUCGAUCCCUGGGUCGGGAA